UUCUUUGUAUUUUCCAAUUGGCACAUGGACUUCCCAAGUGAGUUGGUGAGGGCACGUGAGAGCAUUGACCAAGACCAAGCAAUCAAUCUCCACUUCAAUCGCAUCAUGCAAGGGAGGGGAAAAGCCAUUCUCUUCAUUUUGAGGAGAGAGAACGUAAUUGAGAGCAUCCUCUAAGGCAAGGGCUUUGACCAAGAGAGGCGACGCCGCGGUAACCGUUUUCGCAGCUCCAUGCAGCAAACGACCAACGAAAGCACGACAUACCCACGCGAUUGACCCCUCCAUCGUCCUAGGUACAAAAGCCCCAUCGAUGUUAACCUUAAAGGUGCAAGUUGUAGGAGGUUUCCAGCAACCUGAGGCAUUUCCUUCUUUGAUUCCAAGUUUGCUCACUGAAAGGCUCCAUUUUUGGAAGCUUCUGAGUGUGGUGAGGGCUGUUUCGACAACAUCGCUCAUGUCUUGGGGUUGGUCUCUGAAGAUGGAUGCAUUUUUGGCUUUCCAAACACACUAGAGCACCGAAAGCAACCAUGGCUAGAUCUGCACAGAGCCGAGAACGUGGGAGACGCCGAAGAUGCAAGAAAGAGAGGACAACAGAAAUUUCAACUGGAGCUGCGACAAUGGAUGAGAAUCGAUCUUUCAGUCUGGUUGGGUGGUUAGACGAGCCAUGAGGAGGUGUGCGCACAGAGAAGUUGGGAGGGGGAGAAAGCUAGGUUACAUUGUGGAGUGGAGUGGAGAAUCGAGAAGGGGGUGGGUACCAAGGUUCACUCACGAUCACAGGGUUUUCUAGGGUGGUGUAAUGGGAAUCAAUGGUGGGGUUUAGGUUAGCGUUUUGGAUGUGGAGAGGGGUGAGAGGAAGCCAUAGCUACACAAAAGGUAGAGAGAACAACACAAAUGAUAGAGAAAGACACCGGUUGUUGUUUUUUCGCCGUCUUCAGUCAUGGGGUUAUGUUCAAGGAUAUAAUGUUAUGCAAAAUGGGGGGUUUUUCAAAA